rnacentral:rRNA from 1 species
UACGUAGGAGGCAAGCGUUGUCCGGAAUUACUGGGUGUAAAGCGCGUGUAGGUGGGAGGCCAAGUCUGUGGUGAAAGCGCCCGGCUCAACUGGGCAGAGUCCAUGGAAACUGGUCACCUGGAGGACGGUAGAGGCGAGUGGAAUUCCCGGUGUAGUGGUGAAAUGCGUAGAGAUCGGGAGGAACACCAGUGGCGAAGGCGGCUCGCUGGGCCGGUCCUGACACUGAUGCGCGAAAGCCAGGGGAGCAAACGGG